rnacentral:tRNA from 1 species
UAGCUCAGUGGUAGAGUGCGUGCUUAGCAUGCACAAGGUCCUGAGUUCAAUUCCCAG